GACAGAAGCUUUUGUGUUUGGUACAAUUAUGAAACAAGAGUGAUGCCAAGUCCGUGACACUACAACAGGAGUAGUACAAUGGACACUACACAACAAGAGUACUAGACUAGAUACAAAGCCCGUGACAAUACAAGACACAAGAGUACAAGACGCAACAAGAUGACAAAGUCCGUGACAUUACAACACUUCACACAACAAGUCCGUGAUCCUUCUCACCUCCAAUGCUCCUGUA
rnacentral:lncRNA from 1 species